UCCCCGGUAGCUCAACGGUAGAGCGUUCGGCUGUUAACCGAAAUGUUGUAGGUUCGAGCCCUACCCGGGGAGCCA
rnacentral:tRNA from 1 species